CCGGUAAACGGCGGCCGUAACUAUAACGGUCCUAAGGUAGCGAAAUUCCUUGUCGGGUAAGUUCCGACCUGCACGAAUGGCGUAAUGAUGGCCAGGCUGUCUCCACCCGAGACUCAGUGAAAUUGAACUCGCUGUGAAGAUGCAGUGUACCCGCGGCAAGACGGAAAGACCCCGUGAACCUUUACUAUAGCUUGACACUGAACAUUGAGCCUUGAUGUGUAGGAUAGGUGGGAGGCUUAGAAGUGUGGACGCCAGUCUGCAUGGAGCCGACCUUGAAAUACCACCCUUUAAUGUUUGAUGUUCUAACGUUGACCCGUAAUCCGGGUUGCGGACAGUGUCUGGUGGGUAGUUUGACUGGGGCGGUCUCCUCCUAAAGAGUAACGGAGGAGCACGAAGGUUGGCUAAUCCUGGUCGGACAUCAGGAGGUUAGUGCAAUGGCAUAAGCCAGCUUGACUGCGAGCGUGACGGCGCGAGCAGGUGCGAAAGCAGGUCAUAGUGAUCCGGUGGUUCUGAAUGGAAGGGCCAUCGCUCAACGGAUAAAAGGUACUCCGGGGAUAACAGGCUGAUACCGCCCAAGAGUUCAUAUCGACGGCGGUGUUUGGCACCUCGAUGUCGGCUCAUCACAUCCUGGGGCUGAAGUAGGUCCCAAGGGUAUGGCUGUUCGCCAUUUAAAGUGGUACGCGAGCUGGGUUUAGAACGUCGUGAGACAGUUCGGUCCCUAUCUGCCGUGGGCGCU
rnacentral:rRNA from 1 species